UUGUCAACUGGGAAAAUGUAGAGCUUAAAAUGUCCUACAUUUUGUUAGUUGACAACUUUUUAAUAGCUAU
ensembl:ncRNA T11F1.10 ncRNA